GAUGAACGCUGGCGGCGUGCCUAAUACAUGCAAGUCGAGCGAACAGACGAGGAGCUUGCUCCUCUGACGUUAGCGGCGGACGGGGGAGUAACACGUGGAUAAACUACCUAUAUGUCUGGGAUAAUUUCGGGAAACCGGAGCUAAUACCGGAUAAUAUAUUGAACCGCAUGGUUCAAUAGUGAAAGACGGCUUUGCUGUCAGUUAUAGCGGGAUCCGCGCCGCAUUAGCUAGUUGGUAAGGUAACGGCUUAUCAAGGCGACGAUGCGUAGCCGACCUGAGAGGGUGAUCGGCCACACUGGAACUGAGACACGGUCCAGAGUCCUACGGGAGGCAGCAGUAGGGAAUCUUCCGCAAUGGGCGAAAGCCUGACAGAGCAACGCCGCGUGAGUGAUGAAGGUCUUCGGAUCGUAAAACUCUGUUAUUGGGGAAGAACAAAUGUGGAAGUAACUAUGGACGUCUUGACGGUACCGAAUCAAAAAGCCACGGCUAACUACGUG
rnacentral:rRNA from 1 species